AAACUUAGACUUUUUUGUUGAAGAAAAAAAUGUUUUGAAAGGAAGAGUAACCCAAGAAAAAGACGGUUCAAUUUCAAUCAAUGCUUCUGUUUCCUCUGGCAGAUCAACACUAUUAGUUGUCGAUAAAAAAGAGAAAAGAUUUUCAGAAUUUGCGAACUGGAAUGUAAAGCAAGAGUAUCGAGC